rnacentral:rRNA from 1 species
GACGAACGCUGGCGGCGUGCCUAAUACAUGCAAGUCGAACGCUUUGAUUUUCACCGGAGCUUGCUCCACCGAAAAUCAAAGAGUGGCGGACGGGUGAGUAACACGUGGGCAACCUGCCCAACAGAGGGGGAUAACACUUGGAAACAGGUGCUAAUACCGCAUAAUUUGUUUUUCCGCAUGGAAGAAUAAUAAAAGACGCUUCGGUGUCACUGUUGGAUGGGCCCGCGCUGCAUUAGUUAGUUGGUGGGGUAACGGCCUACCAAGACCAUGAUGCAUAGCCGACCUGAGAGGGUGAUCGGCCACACUGGGACUGAGACACGGCCCAGACUCCUACGGGAGGCAGCAGUAGGGAAUCUUCGGCAAUGGACGAAAGUCUGACCGAGCAACGCCGCAUGAGUGAAGAAGGUUUUCGGAUCGUAAAACUCUGUUGUUAGAGAAGAACAAGUGAGAGAGUUACUGUUCUCACCUUGACGGUAUCUAACCAGAAAGCCACGGCUAACUACGUGCCAGCAGCCGCGGUAAUACGUAGGUGGCAAGCGUUGUCCGGAUUUAUUGGGCGUAAAGCGAGCGCAGGCGGUCUCUUAAGUCUGAUGUGAAAGCCCUCGGCUCAACCGAGGAAGGUCAUUGGAAACUGGGGAACUUGAGUGCAGAAGAGGAGAGUGGAAUUCCAUGUGUAGCGGUGAAAUGCGUAGAUAUAUGGAGGAACACCAGUGGCGAAGGCGACUCUCUGGUCUGUAACUGACGCUGAGGCUCGAAAGCGUGGGGAGCAAACAGG